UUCGCAAUGCCCGAAAGGGUGACGAAGCGACGCCGCGUGUGGGAAGAAGGCCUUCGGGUUGUAAACCACUGUCGGGAGUUAAGAAAUGCAAGGAUAUUAAUAGUGUCUUUGUUUGACUAAGGCUCCGGAGGAAGCCACGGCUAACUCUGUGCCAGCAGCCGCGGUAAUACAGAGGCGGCAAGCGUUGUUCGGAAUUAUUGGGCGUAAAGAGCACGUAGGCGGCUAUGUAAGUCGGUUGUGAAAGCCUUCCGCUCAACGGAAGAACAGCAUCCGAUACUACAUGGCUUGAGUGUGGGAGGGGAGAGUGGAACUUCUGGUGGAGCGGUGAAAUGCGUAGAUAUCAGAAGGAACGCCGGCGGCGAAAGCGGCUCUCUGGCCCGUAACUGACGCUGAGUGUGCGAAAGCUGGGGGAGCAAACGGGAUUAGAUACCCCGGUAGUCCUAGCCGUAAACGAUGGGCACUAAGUAGAGGGGUUUU
rnacentral:rRNA from 1 species